UAGCCAGCUAGCUUGUAUAGCUAAUAUCUGCCUACCCCAUUGAAUUGCCCCUACCUGAAUUUAAGCUAUCGCUGUCCCCCUGGAAGCGUCGGCCUGUCCAUCCUCAUUGGUGUCCAUCCUCAUUGGUGUCUGCUCUAGUCAGCUAGCUGUUCUAUGACUAAUAUCUGUCUGCCCCAUUGAAUCGCCCUACCGGAUUUAAGCUAACGCUGUCCCCUUGGAGUGCUGGCCUGUCCAUCCCUAUUGGGGUUUGCCCUAACCUGCCAAUUGACUUUUGAAGAGUAUCUGCUUGCUUUAUUGAACUGUCUCUACCAGGAUUUAAGCCAACACUGUCCCCUUGGAGUGCUGGCCUGUCCUCCCUCAUCACCACCGAACCCCAGGGUGCUGUUAGUCCCAGGGCCACCACCUGGGAGACCGAAGUCCACAGCCUGCCGUAAACCAGACACGAUUGAGAACCACAGUGUGCUGUGACGGAACACAGAGUGACCCCCCUUCCCCCUUCACAUUUGCCGAGUGUGACCAGAGUGUGUGUGUGCAGUGACGUCCCACAACAGGGUGAAUCCCUCCUACGGUUGCAGUGAGUGACCUCUAACCCGCAGGCUGUGAUCAAGGCCCCCUUUGGUGAAGUGGCAGCAAGACGACAACCCCCGCUGCAACUAGAGUCGGGGGCGGUGUGGUUGCUGAGUUGGGGAGUGUGCCCAGAGACUCCCAGGACCGAGACAGUGCUUUUGGCCCUCACAAGGGUUCCCGCACCAGCGAGUUUACUUUUAAAAAUAAAAUUGUAUACUUUCCUACUAAA